UACGUAGGGUGCAAGCGUUAAUCGGAAUUACUGGGCGUAAAGACGUGCGCAGGCGGUUUGUUAAGUCUGUCGUGAAAUCCCCGGGCUCAACCUGGGAACUGCAUUUGUGACUGCAUCGCUGGAGUGCGGCAGAGGGGGAUGGAAUUCCGCGUGUAGCAGUGAAAUGCGUAGAUAUGCGGAGGAACACCGAUGGCGAAGGCA
rnacentral:rRNA from 1 species